GUGUGGGAUAUACUUACCCUGAUAAAUACUGCAGGGGAUAUACUUACACUAAAAAAAAGGACUCGCUGCUUCUCUGGAAUUCAAAUUUACUUGGGCGUCCCGGGUCUUUUGUAGCUGUCAUGGAUCUCGUUUUUAUUUGUGCUACAUCUGGCCACCUUAGCCUGGCACAAAAUGUAUUCACCAAUGUUCAUUGAACGAACGAACGGAGCUAAAGCAUAUCAGCUGAAAGAAUAAACAGAUGAAGCAGUGAUUGAAACGCACAGGCAUUAUUACUAUGGUUGCCGUUGUUGUCUCACUGAUGGCUCAGAAGUUCCUGCCUCUGAGAACAUUCUAUCUAUCCCAGGCCCAGACCAUGGGGGGAAGUCGGGGCUUGCAGAGCAAAGUGAUUCACCCAAGGCCUUCAGGGCUGUCGCUCCUGAGGCGGGCCAUCUGCACCCCCAGACAGCCCCCAUCCUCCAAGCCUGAAACACACCCCAGCCUGAAUCUCAGAAUAACCCCACCAGGCUGGGACAGCUACCCUCCCCUGCUACCGAUGAAGAAACCGAGGCUCAGAGAGGCAAAGGGACUCAUCCACGCUGACAGUGACCCCCCCCGGGACCCUUCUCUCCACACUGGGGGCAGAGCCUGGAGCCCGAGAGCCACAGCUGGCAGAGCUCCAGGCUGGGCUGGAGCUGGCUUCCCACAGAUCCCCAGCUCCACGGCCGGGAACUGCCUCCCCAAAGGCCCGCUCACCUCCUGGCAGCACCAGCAGAUGUGGAAACCCAGGCUUGGCUCUGAGCAGGCAGACCGUGGGCGGCAGGCGGGGCUUGCUCCAGACACGCUCUGCCAACGCAGCCAGCGAGCUGGGCAUUUCAUUCAAGCAUUCAGCAAACGGAGGGGCCAGGUGCUGAGCCCCAUUUUGGGGGUUGGCUGUGGGGGAAAAGGAGGGUCAGAUGAUGAUGUUUAAAAAGCCCAACAACACAGCAAGCACUCAGAUCUAUCUGUGCUCCUCUUCUGAGUACCUACUGUGUGCUUGGCACUAGCUGGAGCCCCCUGUGGCCCAUGAAGCAGACAGGGUCACACCAGGAAACGAGAGUGAAGAAGAGACUAGAGGGGCUUCCCUGGUGGUCCAGCAGUCAUGACUCUGCCUUCACUGAGGGGCAGGGGGUCCACGUUCGACGGCUGGUCAGGGAAUCAAGGUCCCACAUGUGGUGUGGGGUGGCCAAAAAAAAGAGAGACUAGGAAGCUGCUCAAACCGGCUCAUGCUGUGGGGAUCGGUGUCCCAGGGUUAUCUCACAGGACCCUGGUGAUAACCCUAAGUGGAGGACUGUUAACUCUCCCUGUUACUCAAAGCAGGGCGAGAGGACCAAGGCUCCCAACGAGGGUUAGCACUGCUUCAACAUCACCCACACUGAGGGAGAAUGAGCCGUUACAGAGCACCUUUCAAUGGGUCAGCUCCCUUCAAUGGGUGAUCAUUUAUUCACUCAGCAAAUGUUCAGUGAGACUUACCAUAUGCCAGGCAACGGGGGCACAACAGUGAACCACACUAACGAGGCUAAAACUUGAUAGAGGACUGAUAAGAGCACGGGGUCUGGAGCCAGAUACCCGGGUUUAAGUCCCAGCUCUGCCACCCACCCUGUGUGACCUUGA
ensembl:lncRNA